rnacentral:lncRNA from 1 species
CUUUGCUGAUGAUGGUGCUAACGAAAUACUAUGAGAUUAUCGUGGGAUCAAGAAUUGUGCAAAAGAACAGACUUCACAAACGUACACCAUUACCAGAUGAAGGAGAGCUUUAGAAAGAUGUGUUUGUUGUCUGUGUGCUUCAUUGCAACAGCCCUGCCACACUAGGAGGAAGACAGGUUUUGGGUCCUGUCUUGGUGAUAAAGAUAAAACUAAAGGACAAUCAAAUCUCAUCAAACUUCUCUCUGAGGAGCUGAUGACGUUUCAGAAACAGUGACAAAGUUCAGAAUCCCAUUCUUCCAUCCUAGAUGGGAAACAUCAACUUUCCUGAUGAUGCUGAAAAAGCAAGAUACUCAUUUUUUCCAGCCACCCUUGCAGAGCCAGAAAGCCCAUGAGAUUCAAUAGAUGUAAGACUGAGAGAGAUUUUCAUUCCUGGAUGAAAGGAGACAGGCCUGGGAGAAGAGUUUUCUCUUGCCAUCUUUGCAGUCUCUCCACUCCUGACGUGUACAGGGUCAGAUUUCUGUUGGCUGCUGUGGCAAAUGUCACACACUUAGUGACUUCAAAUAACCCAGAUGUAUCAUCUGACAGGGUGGAGAUGGCCCCAGUGAGAUGAACCUGGUAUCUCAGUUGGAAAUGCAGAAAUCACCCGUCUUCUGCGUCGCUCACGCUGGGAGCUGUAGACUGGAGCUGUUCCUAUUCGGCCAUCUUCCGCUUUAAGUUUUUUAUAAUCUUUUUGGGAAGGAAAGGCCAUGUGAAAACAUGGCGAGAAGACAGUCAUCUGCAACCCAAGGAGAGAGACUUCACCAGACACUGACCCUGCUGGCACCUUGAUCUUGGACUUCCAGUGUUCAGAACUAUAAGAAAUAAAUUCCUGUUAUGUAAGGUGCCCAGUCCAUGGUAUUUUGUUGUAACAGCCUGAGCUGUUGAAGAUGGAUUUUCCUUUCAAGAUCAGAUCUUGGGCCUCAGAGUCAGCCUCACUAUAGAAAGCAAGGGCUAGUCUCAGCUUCCCACAGAAGACUUGGUUUUAUUGGAGGCAAGUUUUGUCUUGCUUACAAUGAGGUUAUACAAAGCAUAACAAAAUUCACAUUUUGUUAAGUGACUACCAUAUGAUCACUCUGAAUUUUAUUUUACCUGUCAUUUCUCGGUAUCAAUAGGUUUUACUUCCCCUUGUUCUGGAUUUCAGUGAUUGAUGACUGAAUACAAUAAAUAUUUAUUGAGCGCCUUUUAUGAGGAGAUAUUAAUUGAACAAAAUGCCUGUCCUCACAGAGUCGACAUUCUGAUGGAGGGUGCUAGGAGAAGAG